CCGGUUAUGCCGCUCCGCGUCGCUGACGUGCCCGAGGCGCUCCAGGUCCCCGCCUUCGUCGGUUAUGCCGCUCGCCACGGACAGGCCGCUGGUAUGCCGGAGGCGCCGCACGAGCUGGAACGAGGAUGCGGAGGAUGGGCCCGACCUGGAGGGGGGCACGCAGCAGGGGUGGGCGUAGUGGUUCGAGGGGUUGCCGCAGGCGCUGAGCCGCAGCGGAGGCUCCUAAAGGUCCCUCGUCGUGUCCCUACCGUUAAAACCGUCGAGACGAGACUACUACGGCAGUCUCGUGUCGAACGAGCAAAAGUCGUACUCCUUCUUCUACUAAACUGUCCCUCGUCGUGUCGAACGAACAAAACAAAGAGACAUCGUUCAAUAAGAUAUUUAUGACUUGUGAUACGUUCCUUUAGUCGUCGACGGUAACAAGUUCUUACAUGAUUAAGAGACUUGUAACAAAACAAAAAGACAUCGUUUAAUAAAGAUACUUAAGACUUGUAAACGUUUCUUUAGUCAUCGAAAGUAACAAUUCUCUUACUCGAUUAAGAGACUAAAAAAAAACAAAAAUCGUACUCC
rnacentral:rRNA from 1 species